GAUGAACGCUGGCGGCGUGCCUAAUACAUGCGAGUCGAGCGAAGAGACGAGGAGCUGGCUCCUCGGACGUUAGCGGCGGACGGGUGAGUAACACGGGGAUAACCUACGGAUAAGAGGGGGAUAACUUCGGGAAACCGGAGAUAAUAGCGGAUAAGAUAUUGAACCGUAUGGUUCAAUAGUGAAAGACGGUUUUGUUGUUACUUAUAGAUGGAGCGGCGCCGCAUUAGCUAGUUGGUAAGGUAACGGCUCACCAAGGCAACGAUGCGUAGCCGACCUGAGAGGGUGAUCGGCCACACUGGGACUGAGACACGGUCCAGACUCCUACGGGAGGCAGCAGUAGGGAAUCUUCCGCAAUGGGCGGAAGCCUGACGGAGCAACGCCGCGUGAGUGAUGAAGGUCUUCGGAUCGUAAAACUCUGUUAUUAGGGAAGAACAAAUGUGUAAGUAACUAUGCCCGUCUUUACGGUACCUUAUCAGAAAGCCACGGCUAACUACCUG
rnacentral:rRNA from 1 species